CCCACGACCCACACAGCCUCGGGCCCCACCCACGAUGCACACACGCCCAACCCACGCGCACACACACCCACGUUGGAUCCCAUCUCUCGUGUCAUCCUCGAUCCCCUUUCUCCACCCCACGCUGCCGCCAGAUUUCGGUGAUCCCAGCCGUUCCCCACCGCCCAGCUCUCCUCCCCGAGGUCACCUCUCCCUGCUCACCAUUUCCACCGACCGGCUUCUCUCCUUGCCCAGGAGAGUCCCGCCUCCUCGCUGCCAAGGAGGCCGCCGCCCGCCGCCUCGAGCGGCGCCGCCUCCUCCUCGAGCGCCACGCCGCAGACCUCACCUCCCGCGCCCUCACCGCCCGCGCUGACACCGACGCCACCCAUGCGCGCUGCCUCGCCGUCGCCCGCGACAUCAGCUCGACCAACGGCGAGAUCGAGGACGCGCAGUAGAAGGCAGAGAAGUGGGACCGCUUCUACGAGUCCAAGAGGAAGGAGAUGGAGGAGCUCCGGCCGUCAUCUCCACAGCCUCCAUCCACCCCGGCCGCAGCCACUUCUCAACCCCACGAGAAGCCUCCUGGCGUAGUUCCUCGUCACCGUCCUCCUCCCGGUCGUUUUCCACCUCCGACUCCACCUGGUGGUCCCAGAGGCGACGAUUCCCCGUCGCCUCGGCCGACGUAGAGCUCUGCGAGGCUGCCGCAGGUGAUGGAGACUCUGUCCACGUCAUCGAGACGCCGCAGCCCAACUCAAGUGUUAAGUUCAGCAUGGAGGUGCCUCCCUUGAUAUGCCAGGAGUGCUACCAAACAACUUUCUCGAGUACUCAAAGCAUUUCGAGGUACCAUUUCUAUGCUAAAACCUGUAUCAAAUGAUGAACAUUGGAAUUCGUGAGGACAAACAUUAUGCAAAGAAUUACAAAGCACAGCCAGGAAUGUGGGCUUAUGCCAAAUCUUAACGACUACAAGUUCAGUAAUCAUGAACUGCAGAUACAGAGUUCCGGGCGAUGUCGCAGCGGGAGCUCGUCAGGAAGUGCAGAGGCUCAAGGCCUCUGUGUCUCAACUAUAGGCAGCCCUGCAGGAGCUGCAGAGCAGCGGGUUGCACUCGGACGAUGCCGGGAUCGGGGCUGCGGAAGCCAGGAAGGCCGACCUCAUGGCUAAGAAGGCCAAGCUGGACGAGACCCUGGCUGCAGCCCGCCAGUUCAGAGCACUGCUUUGGAAGUAGCUCAAGAAAGCCUUCACGUCAGAGGUUAGGGAUCAAAAGGCAGCACAAAACUGACUAGUUAUGUGGUACAAGCAAAACGACAUUCAUUAGCUAGCUCAUCAAUCGCUUCGGAUUAAGGAUGCAAUGCAAGUGUGGCGGGCUAGUGGACAGUAGCAUAGUAGUACAAAUGUGGUGUUACUUUUAGGCAAAUGUUGAGCAAAUUUUGAACUAAUGGAUGAGUUUCGUGGGACGAAGCGGGCUGCCACUUGCACUCCUCCUAUUGAAGAAACGAACUUCAAAUGACUCUACAUGCAGAUGCAUGCUUUUUAUUUCAGUCUUGUUUAGAGGAGGCCCCGGCGGCGUCGAGCUGCUGUUGCUGCGGGCACAGCGAUGUUGGCGUGGUCGGGAUGGUCGCAGCCCUUCAAGAUUCUCAACGGCGGUGUCUCGACGCUGAUGGCAGAGUCGACGGCGAGCAUCGGCGGGUACAGGUUCAGAUCAUCCAUGAAUUGAUGGAGUAGGAGGACGAGCAGCAGCAGCAAAUCAACCUGAUGAUGACGGGGUGCGGAAGGCAAUGGUGAUCAUGCUGAUGGCAUGAAGAAGGCUGAUGACCACAACCUGGACCUUUUGGCAUUUAGAGAUGGCAAACAUAGGCGGCGUGGAGACAACAACCUGGACCACCCACCUCCCUUGCCUUUUUAAUUUUGGUUGUGGUGGUUGCGAUCGCAAAUUAGUAUGUAGUGUGCUUGUGGAGUUGGGUCUGGACUGCAGUGUCCAUCCAGUAGGUUAGGUGUUGUUGCUGCUAGAUCCCAUGAUGCUCACCUAAGUUUUGUGUUAUGUGGAGGCCAACCUUUGUGAUCUUAUUUGUCGACACUUGUGUGAUCUCAUCUUACUUUGUGAUACAAGUUGUACGAUAUAUGUUUUUAUGGAUGA